rnacentral:lncRNA from 1 species
UGUUACUAUUAUGAAAUUAUUUACAUUUAUUUUUAUUUACAGAAAAUUAAUUAACUUUACUGGAUCAAUAAAUGAUGAAAACCAAAGAAAAGAAAAAUUAACAAUAAAAUUGAAAUGUGAAUACUAUGCUGUAUUAUUUACUCAGGCUUCUAAACUAUUAAAUGAAUACGUAAAUUUCAGAAAUAGAUUAGUAUUAGAAUUAGCUAUAAAUGUGAAUGGUUUAAUGGAAUCUAUACAUGCAACUAUUAUAUCGAGACUUAGUGAAGAUGAGAAAAGAGAAUUACGAAGAUAUUGCGAAAAUAUCAGAAGUGGGAGAUCCAAAUCUAAAUUACAAAAGAAAUAUAUAGUUUGCCUUUUGAACGACUUAACCAUCGAAGACUUAAAUUAUGAAGGAGAAGAAACUGAAAAUGAAGUGAGGAAAGUUUUUUAUCCGGCAGGAAUGAAAAUCAGUGUUUAUGAAGACAAAGCGUUAGACUUACAAAAAUGUGAAUCGGCUAAAAUUUUAAAAGAUUAAAACGAAUAAAUUAAAUAAAUAUAAAAAUAUUUAAAGUUGU